rnacentral:rRNA from 1 species
GACGAACGCUGGCGGCGUGCCUAAUACAUGCAAGUAGAACGCUGAAGGAGGAGCUUGCUUCUCUGGAUGAGUUGCGAACGGGUGAGUAACGCGUAGGUAACCUGCCUGGUAGCGGGGGAUAACUAUUGGAAACGAUAGUUAAUACCGCAUAAUAGUAGAUGUUGCAUGACAUUUGCUUAAAAGGUGCAAUUGCAUCACUACCAGAUGGACCUGCGUUGUAUUAGCUAGUUGGUGGGGUAACGGCUCACCAAGGCGACGAUACAUAGCCGACCUGAGAGGGUGAUCGGCCACACUGGGACUGAGACACGGCCCAGACUCCUACGGGAGGCAGCAGUAGGGAAUCUUCGGCAAUGGACGGAAGUCUGACCGAGCAACGCCGCGUGAGUGAAGAAGGUUUUCGGAUCGUAAAGCUCUGUUGUAAGAGAAGAACGAGUGUGAGAGUGGAAAGUUCACACUGUGACGGUAUCUUACCAGAAAGGGACGGCUAACUACGUG